CCGUGCUAGACGGGGAGUUAGCGGUGCCCUGUAUCCGCAAUCCGCUAUAGCGGAGUCGAAUUCCUGUUUGAGGCAUGCAAGUGUAAAGUCAGUUAUGCUGCAAGGUACGAUGAAGAUUGGGUCUUGCGCAAUUCAGAACUGUGAACCCCGUCAGGUCCGGAAGGAAGCAGCGGUAAGCGGAACCUCUGGGUGUGCCGCAAGUCAGCCUGAUCCGAGUAUGAUGCGCAUGGUACGUUUGUACUUGCCUGUCGAGGACAGGUGCACGG
rnacentral:SRP_RNA from 1 species